AUAAGAUGUACAGAGAAUUAAUAAAGGCAUGGAAAGUUGUCAUGUUAUAAUGUUAAAUUCUAAGGUAAAAUUUUAAAUACAGUGUGACUGCAAGCGUUCACAACCCAAUAACCAUGAAGAGAGAAGAGAGCAGAAACAAGUUUAUUAUCAUUGUAACUUGUGACUCUUUGAGUGUUUGGAUUGUGGCUGGUUUUCCUUCUACUUUCCUAGAAAGCAGAAUAUUUGGUUUUAAAAAGUGACCACGUUAAAAAAGAACCAUGAGUCAGAUUGAUGGAGAUAUGGAGGCACGUGAGAAGGCUGCAAGCUUCCGGCAGAAUCGUGGAGAAAAUCGAGUAACUCAUCCACGUAAAGAAUGUGCCCUUUCCGAACUUGGCUGCUCGCAUGUUAGAGGUCUCAUUUUAUGUAGCUGGAAUGUUUUCUUUGAAACUUGGCUGGUUUCGUAUGUGAAGUUGUGAAAUCCUUUGGACUAAGGCAUCAUUUGCCUUUUUCUUUAGAAAAAAAAAAAGAGAGGUGAUAAUAGCUUGCUUUUGAUAGAAAAGGUAUCUAUGAUUGUGUGCUUUCACUUGAGAUCAUCGCAGGCAAUUGUAGGAUAUAACUAAAUAGGAAUUUAGUGCAAAGCAGAUACUUCCUCCCCCAAGAAGAUGACCCUUGGUUAAGGCCAUCCUUUUCCCUGAUGAUUAUGGCAACGUGGAGAGGGAGAACAAGCAGGUGCCUCUUGACUGCAUGACCUCUAAUUGACUGGAAGAGUAAAGAGGCUGACCUGUGGUAGGGGGAGGUUCAGGAGAGAGAAAGCAUCCAGUAUCAGGCUACACAUCAAUUUCUAAACCACAUCUCCUGGAGAAACUCUCUGAGUAAGAAACAACCGACUCUGCUUUAUGACUUGUGUGCUUUCCAGACUAAAGGCAGGAUGCUGGAUUAUAUCACCCAUUAAGGUCUCUUUGCCCUCCAAACUAUGAGGCCGACACUGGCUUCUUUCCCUGUCAAUGCCACUGCCAAACACCUGGCAGACAAAAUGCCCCUAGAGGCCUCUUUGUUCACUCCCAGGAUGAGAGAAAAUGAUCACAUGUGUUUAACAAUGUGUGCUAAUGCCUUGUUUUGGGUCUUCUGACUGUGACCCAGAAUGGCAGGGACGGCUGGGUGAGUUUGUAUUUGCAAGUGAUCCCCAAGGUCUUUGUUCAUGUGGCACUGCUGCAGUCUGAGCUGUGGCCAUUCUUUUACUUCUCAUUCUUGUGCUUCUGGGGUGGAGCAUCUCCCAGAUGAAACAGAGUGGGGAGCAGUAGCAUGAGAAGAAAGAAAACAGGGAUGGCUCCUAACCCCAAAUGGAUUACAUCCCAAUCCUGCUUCCCACCUAUAGAGCCAAGAGAUGUUUGAAGUAGAUGAAAUAGGCCCUAUCUGGGACAGAAUGAUUCGACAGCCUGACCCAUAAAUUCAUCACUUCCCCUGACUCUUUCAGCACUCAUCCAAAAGUUUGUGAUGCCUGCCCUGCUGCUCUUUGGCCAUCAAAAUCUCACCUAACUUCAAGACUUAAUUCAAAUGCCCUCUUCUCCUUGAAGCCUUCUCUGAUCCCCAUAAGUCAGAAUGAAUGGUUUUCUCUUCCAUGUGCUCAUUUGCACGUCUUGUGUAUUAGGACAUGCGUUGUAGGAACUGUCUUAUACCUGUUGGCCUCUACCAUAAUCCAGGUAACUGGGCAUGCCUCACCCCGACUGGGUCACCAGUAAGUCUCUGGACAGAAGAGACAAUGUGGCAUUCACUUUUGCAAGCUGCACAGGGCUCCCUGGAUCUCUUCAAAGAGAAGUGACUGGGCUUGUGGAGGUUCUGGUACAAGGGCUGCCUUAGCACAGGGAUUUUUAGUGAAUUCUUCCAAUAAUGGCCCUUUUAAGCGAGCUGAGGUUUCGCUGCCUCUGAAUGAUAGCCUAGAGCCUGGGAAGCCAGACAGAGUGGGCCACUGGCUGGGAGAGAAGCUGGGCCCUGUGGUGUGAAUGGAUGCUUUUAGCACAGUGCCUCGCCAGUGCGCCUCCAGGCUAUGAAAGAUUUCCUGUCUGAUAUUGUAAGCUCCCAAAGGGUAUGGACCGUGACUGCUCUACUUACUCACACAGCCCAGCGCCCCAUGCACAGGAUUGUUUAAUAAAUAUUGUUUAAUGAUGACCGCUCUAACAGCAUGAGUGUGUGGGGCACUUGGCACGCCCCAUGGAGCAGCAUGCUGCCCGCGGCCCACCAGACACAGCACACAGACUGCCCAUAGUAAGUAAUAUUUGCUGAACUUUCCUUUUGGGCAAUGUGACCCUGCACCAGCUUUCGUGGAAAAUAACAGGAAAAUAGAACCCAUGGUCCUUUCCCUAAAACCUGCUCACGAUCUGAUAGAAAUCUUCAUCCCAGAGUUGGCAGAAAAUGAAGCCAAAGUUGAAGAAAUAUGUCUAGGCAGGAAGGAUUUUAAUAAAAUUGUGAAAGUCCAUAUGAUCAGUCUCUGUGAGUCUUCAAGCCACCUGUGUUUGCUGUCUCAUUAUGUUACAGGAAAAUGUGUAAAGGGCUGACAAUGAAAAGUCACUGGUGAGUACGUAUUUAAGCUUAUUUGUAGGGAGGAAAGCAUCUGGAAAGAAGUGUCUUUUUCCAUAAAUUCAAUUCUUUCACCAAAAAAGCAAUUACAAGAGUUUCUAUGUUGCUGCUAAAAGUAUCUCCAUAAAAAUCUAAGUUCUGUUUUAAAAAGAAAAUUCACACAAAUAAAAAUGCUUACCUUUUGUGCUCAGAAAAACCAUGUCUUCAUAUCCACCUGACAAUCUUGGAACAGUGGAACAGGAUUUCUCUCUGUUGUCUCAUCAUAGCCUCCCUUGCAGCUAAGACAUGGACAAGUGACUCAGGCUCCAUCAGUCAGAUGUACCUGUUCUGGACCUGGACCAGACAGCUAAUGACAGAAAGAAACAGGGACUGCCUGGAGCAUGUUCUGCUGGAGAGUCACACCCAGGGUUCAACAGCAGAAGUGGUUCUAGUGUCAGCAGCCAGCGAGCACUGGUGUCAGCAGUGGCAUCUCCAUGGGACCAGUCUGACGUGUGACUUUGGACAUGAGUGCUGGCUGUGCAGCCUGGGAAGUCUACAACAACUCAGUAUUCUUAACACAACCCCUUUCUGCUUACAUUAGCUAGAGUUGGGGUCUGUUACUGAAACUAAGGAUCUUGACUGAGACACAGGCGCUAUUAUCAACCCUGCCUACAGAUAUAGAAAGUGAGGCUAGAGGUGUUAAGUGACUUGCCUAAGGUCUAACAGCUAACAAGAGGUAGACCUAGGAUUCAAACACAAGUUUGCCCGACUUCAGAGCUCUUGUCCUUCGUGUCCACCUCAGAGUACCCCUGGGAUAUGACAUAUCCCCAUGGAACUCUUCAGGCCUCGCUGUAUUGCAAGAAGGGCCAGGGCACUAGGACAAGAGCCCUCAGUGCACUCUGGUCCUCACACUUUAGAGCAAAUGAACUAACAUUUUCUAGGCCCUUAAUGUACUUGAUUCCCAUUACUUAAUGUACUAAAUUCCCAUUAGCACUUUGAGAAGUAAACAUUAUUGUCACUGUUUUACAGCUGAAGAGACGAGGACUAAGUAACUGAGGUUGUUUCUUGCCCAAGGCCACACACUCUGUUCCAGGUGAUUCCAAGAUAGAGCCCUUUCCUCUCUGUUGUCUGUUCACGAAUCCUAGAUCCAUACUAGCCUAUAAAGUAUGGCCCUUUUACCCAUCUGCUUGAUCUCACAUAAUAAUGUGGGAAAUAAGGAUGCAAUCCUUGAAGCUUUUUGACUAGAGAUAGUUUCUUUUGUCCUGAUUUAAUAUUCGUGAUCUACAAUUUAAGUUGUUUGAUAAAUUGUUAUCUUGUUUUUCAAGUGGAAAGAUUUUGUACUGUUUACCAAAAAUUCAUUUUCUGUGUAUGGCGAGAGAUAAGAUUCCAAUAAUAUGGUUUCCCUAGGGGCAGCCCGGUGGUGUAAUGGUUAAAUUUGCACGCUCUGCUUCAGCUGCCUGGGGUUCAUGGGUUUGGAUCCCGAGUGGAGACCUACACACCACUCAUCAAGCCAUGCUGUGGUGGCAUCCCACAUACAACAUAGAGGAAGAUCGGCUUAGAUGUUAGCUCAGGGACAAUCUUCCUCACCAAGAAAAUAAAUAAAUAAAAACAAAUGGUUUCCAUGUGAAAAGCCAAUUGUCCAGAACCAUUUAAUGAAUAACCUAUUCUUUCCCCACUAACUUGACAUGCCACUUCUGUCGUAUACCAAGGUCUCAUGUAAGUAGGAUGCCUGUCUCUGGAUAAUUAAAUCUGCAUGUUUUGUCCCUUAAAUUUUGAUAUAUGCAUUUUCACUUUUGUUCAGUUCUAAAUAUUUUAAAAUUUCCACUGGAUUUUGACCAUGAGUUAUUUAAAUGUAAGUUUUUAGAUUUUCCAAAUGUCUAGGUUUGCAAUUUAUUUAAAUUUGUUAUUGAAAUUUCCAAACAUCGAAUUUGUUAUUGUUUAAACUAUCUUUUGAUUUUGAUUUCUAGUUGUGUUACAUUGAGGGAUGAGAGUGUGGUCUGUAUGACAUGGUACUGCUGUGUCCAUUACAGUAGUCGUUAGUGACAUGUGGCUAAUGAGCACUUGAAAUGGGACUAGUCCAAAUUGAGAUGUGCC
rnacentral:lncRNA from 1 species